rnacentral:rRNA from 1 species
AGCGAACGCUGGCGGCAGGCCUAACACAUGCAAGUCGAACGGAUCCUUCGGGAUUAGUGGCGGACGGGUGAGUAACACGUGGGAACGUGCCCUUUGGUUCGGAACAACUCAGGGACACUUGAGCUAAUACCGGAUGUGCCCUUCGGGGGAAAGAUUUAUCGCCAUUGGAGCGGCCCGCGUCUGAUUAGCUAGUUGGUGAGGUAAAGGCUCACCAAGGCGACGAUCAGUAGCUGGUCUGAGAGGAUGAUCAGCCACAUCGGGACUGAGACACGGCCCAAACUCCUACGGGAGGCAGCAGUGGGGAAUCUUGCGCAAUGGGCGAAAGCCUGACGCAGCCAUGCCGCGUGAAUGAUGAAGGUCUUAGGAUUGUAAAAUUCUUUCACCGGGGACGAUAAUGACGGUACCCGGAGAAGAAGCCCCGGCUAACUUCGUGCCAGCAGCCGCAGUAAAAC